AUGGCCUGGACUCCUCUCCUCCUCAUGCUCCUUUCUCACUGCCUGGGUUCCCUUUUCCAGCCUGUGCUGACUCAGCUGCCCUCCCUCUCUGCAUCUCCUGGAGCAUCUGUCAGACUCACCUGUACCCUGAAGAGUGACAUCAGUGUUGGUAGUUACAGGGUACACUGGUACCAGCAGAAGCCAGGGAGCCCUCCCCGCUAUCUCCUGUACUACCACACAGACUCAGACAAGCACCAGGGCUCCAGGGUCCCCAGCUGCUUCUCUGGAUCCAAGGGUACCUCAGCCAAUGCAGGUGUUCUGCACAUCUCUGGGCUGCAGAUUGAGGAUGAGGCCAACUAUUAUUGUAUGAUUGGAUACAAUACUGCUCACAGUGACACAGGCAAACAGGGAAGUGGGACAAAAACCUCAGGUCCUACAGGUCAUAGCCUGUGA